AGCAGCCGCGGUAAUUCCAGCUCCAAUAGCGUAUAUUAAAGUUGUUGCAGUUAAAAGCUCGUAGUUGAAUUUCGGGGUUAGUAGGUCGGUCGUGCCACAGGUAUGUACUGGUCUCACUGAUUCCUCUUUCCUGAUGAACUGUAAUGCCAUUAAUUUGGUGUUGCGGGGAAACUGGACUGUUACUUUGAAAAAUUGAGUGUUUAAAGCAGGCUAACGCUUGAAUACAUUAGCAUGGAAUAAUGAAAUAGGACGUUCGAUCUUAUUUUGUUGGUUUCUAGGAUUGACGUAAUGAUUAAUAGGGAUAGUUGGGGGCAUUAGUAUUCAAUUGUCAGAGGUGAAAUUCUUGGAUUUAUUGAAGACUAACUACUGCGAAAGCAUUUGCCAAGGAUGUUUUCAUUAAUCAAGAACGAAAGUUAGGGAUCGAAGACGAUCAGAUACCGUCGUAGUCUU
rnacentral:rRNA from 1 species